rnacentral:rRNA from 1 species
UACGAAGGGUGCAAGCGUUACUCGGAAUUACUGGGCGUAAAGCGUGCGUAGGUGGUGAGUUAAGUCUGUCGUGAAAGCCCCGGGCUUAACCUGGGAACGGCCGUUGAAACUGGCGAACUGGAGUGUGGCAGAGGGGGGUGGAAUUCCGCGUGUAGCAGUGAAAUGCGUAGAGAUGCGGAGGAACACCGAUGGCGAAGGCAGCCCCCUGGGCUAACACUGACGCUCAGGCACGAAAGCGUGGGGAGCAAACAGG